rnacentral:rRNA from 1 species
CUACGGGGGGCACCAGUGAGGAAUAUUGCACAAUGGGGGGAACCCUGAUGCAGCAACGCCGCGUGGAGGAUGACGCAUUUCGGUGUGUAAACUCCUUUUAUAUGUCAAGAAAAUGACGGUAGCAUAUGAAUAAGCACCGGCUAACUCCGUGCCAGCAGCCGCGGUAAUACGGAGGGUGCAAGCGUUACUCGGAAUUACUGGGCGUAAAGGACGCGUAGGCGGGUUGGAAAGUCAGGUGUGAAAUUCUACAGCUUAACUGUAGAACUGCACUUGAAACUUCUAAUCUAGAGUAUGGGAGGGGGAGAUGGAAUUAGUGGUGUAGGGGUAAAAUCCGUAGAUAUCACUAGGAAUACCUAAAGCGAAGGCGAUCUCCUGGAACAUUACUGACGCUAAGGCGUGAAAGCGUGGGGAGCAAACAGGAUUAGAUACCCUCGUAGUC